rnacentral:rRNA from 1 species
UCGGGAAUUUUGGGCAAUGGGCGCAAGCCUGAUCCAGCCAUGCCGCGUGAGUGAUGAAGGCCCUAGGGUUGUAAAGCUCUUUUGUGCGGGAAGAUAAUGACGGUACCGCAAGAAUAAGCCCCGGCUAACUUCGUGCCGGCAGCCGCGGUAAUACGAAGGGGGCUAGCGUUGUUCGGAAUUACUGGGCGUAAAGCGCGCGUAGGCGGUUUUGCAAGCCAGAGGUGAAAUGCCUGAGCUCAACUUAGGAAUUGCCUUUGGGACUGCGAGGCUUUGAGGACGAGAGAGGUGAGUGGAAUUCCCAGUGUAGAGGUGAAAUUCGUAGAUAUUGGGAAGAACACCAGUGGCGAAGGCGACCACCUGGACUGAUACUGACACUGAGGUGCGAAAGCGUGGGGAGCAAACAGGAUUAGAUACCCCUGUAGUCCCUGAGCGGGCUGGCAAGGCGCAU